AGCUUUAAGCAGUUCCAAAUCAUUGAAUUACUGAGAAGAUUAAAUGAGGGUAAAACAAUCCUUGAUACAUACCAACCAUCCAAUAAGAUUUGGCUGCAAUCACUACUUAUCAUCAUCAGUGACUCUAACAGAAGCAUGAAGACCAUAGCAAAGAGUCUGGAUACAGUGAAACAAGAAAUCGAGAGCCUUGUUAUUUCCUGCCUAAAGUUCUUUCUGGCUGUAAGAGUCUCUGAUCUUGGCAAGUGACAGACCCCUAUGGCCAAUGAAUCACAACUUAAAUGAGUACCAAGUUCCCAGCUGAUAUGUGAAAAGGAACUC
rnacentral:lncRNA from 1 species